rfam:Myotis lucifugus cont2.3694, whole genome shotgun sequence.
GUGUUUUUAACAGCAACACAUGUACUAAAAUUGGAAUGAUGCAGAGAAAGUUUAGCAUGGCCCCUCUACAAGGCAUGCACAGUUUUAUAUUUAUCCUACUCAUCCUU